AGGAGCCGUGUACGAGGCCCGUACGCACGGUUCUGUGAGAGGGACAGCGUUAGGCUGAUCACCUAGCGCUGCCCUACUCGAU
rnacentral:ncRNA from 1 species